CCCCGCCCGCGUCUCAGCUCCGUCGCAGUCGGUUUCUCAAGCCCCUGGACAGGACGGGAGGGAGACUUCCCCACGGAGUGCGGGUCCGGAGGAGGCUGGACUUCUCUUUUUCAGAACCUUCUGGAAUCCCCCCUGGCCAGCUCCUCUGGUGUCCGGACCUUUCUGUCUCCUGGCCGCGACCCCUUAGGCCGCUCGCUGAACCCCGUGUCUGGGGCCGCCACGUGGGCGCCGUGGCCUCCCUGCAGCCAGUCAGCGGCACCGGGACCCGCCCCGCGCGUAUGCGCUCUAGGGGAGCACGUGCGCAGGCGCCUCGCGCAGGCUCCUGGCAGGACUGCGCAGGGACUGAGGACUGUUUCCUGGGGUCAGACUGACGACUGACCCCCACCCCCCACCCCGGGAGGCCCAGCGCCAGCACCUCGGAAGCGCUGCCAGCCCAGGUCCAAGGGGGCUCCGCGCUCUGUCUAUCCGAACGCGUGGUGUCACCGCAGGAGUGUCGCUGCCACCGAGGCCAAAACGACCGCAGGCUUACAGAACAUACGUCCACCUUGUCCUUUUCACAAACCCAGGCAUCUGGAGAACAUCUGCUUUGCAAAUGGGCCCUCCACAAAUAAUUGAUGAGACCAGAUAGAAACGAAGCAGGAAAAUACUUGGGAACAGCUUGUAAAAGUCAUAGAUCUGUGAUGAUGUGAUCUGAGGAAAUACUGGCCGAAUAGCAGGAUGCAAAACAGCGUUUGCAUCCUGGUCUUGGCCAAUAACAUCUCCUGCCUGAAUUAUGACAACGGCUUCACUGAUCUCACGGCUGGCCUUCUUACCACCUUUUCUCAACACAGCAUCCGGGAGGAUCCUGUUACGAACCCAAAUACCUCUUUUCUUUCAGAGUAAAAACCCAACUCUCACAAAGCCUACAUUAUCUGGCCUCCACUGUCUCUUACUUCAUGUCCUGUUAUCUACUUUUACUGACUUUCACACUUAUCUAUAUGAUCCUACUUGAAUUCCCUAGAUGCUAUGUCUUGGGCACAUGCAUUGGUUGUUCCUAAUGCCUGGGUACCAUUCCUCAAAAUAUCCACAAUGUUAACUUCAUCAUCCCAUUCAAAUCGUUGUGCAAAUAUUUCUCAGUGACAUCUCCCCAGAGUAACCUACCUGAAAUUGCAGCCUAAGCUUUUCCAUUUGCGUGUAUGUGCAUGUUUCCAUAGCACUUCCAUUGUAAUAUGUUAUAUAAUUUACAUAUACAAAAUGUUUACUAGAUCUCUCCCCAGUAACAUUUAGGAUCCCAAGAGGCAAGGAUUUGUGUCAGUUCUGUUUACUAAUGUGUUCCGAGUACCUACAUAACAGCCAUUUAAUAAAAAACUAUUGAAUUAUGUUUGUAAAGUAUUUUGUAGAAAAAAUAAUCGGAGGAACUAUACCAAAGUAAAAUUAUUGAACACUGCUUAGUGAAUAAUCUAUUUUUUUAAUUUUGUUUUUAAACUAAUUUAUGCUUUCUAAAACCCUCACAUUAAGCACCAUUACUUUUAAAAGAUAAGAUAACAGAUUACACAACAGGAAAUCAGGUAAAUUAAACAAUUUAAGUUUUCAUUUUGUGUACAUCAGAAUCUGAGGUUGGAAACGUUCACCUUUAAAAGAGGAAAUAAAGGAUGGGUUUUGAGUUCAUUGACACUUCCAAUUUUAGCUUAUCAGAGAGAACUAUAGAUAAUACAGUCUAAAGAAAACAACACUUAGAUGGGGCUGCUUUAGAAUAGUGACCCCCACUCUAGAAUGCGUCCUUUCAUAUUUAAAAAUGUAAACCUGAGGUUAAAACAGACUGAAGUGUAGAGAAAAACACAAGCCUUUCAUCUAAAAUCUAGAAGAUCUAAAAUGAUCUAAACUCAUUUAUUAUAUAAAUUUCAAAAACAAAAAUUCAGACACUCAAGUUUUGAAAAGCGUUGCUAAAGAGAAAUUAAAAAAAUUUUAAGACAGAUUUUCCUAUACAGGUAUAUUCAAUAUUUAUUAAACACCUAUUAUUGGCAAGUUAUUGUCCUAAAAGCUGAUUGCUAAGGGUUAUCUCAUGUGACCCUCAAAACAUCCAUCUAAUAUCGAUAUUUUUAACUGAUUUUUCCAGGUAAGGAGAUACAAUAUUAUUUCUCAUUUUUCCCUGCCCAAACCCUUCAGCACACCAGCUACAGCGGGGAUAUUGGCAGUAGACAGUGAGGGAGCUGAAACUAUGUGAUUCAGAAAUAGAUUAUUUUGUAAAGCAUUUGAAUCAGGACAAGACUUAUUCAUUUGUGCGUCCAUUCCUUCGUUGAUCUAUUGCCAAAAGAAAAAAAAAAAAAGGACAUAUUGAGAAAAUGUAUUCCAGGUCCUGUCCCAAAUACUAAAGAUACAGAGAUGAAUAAAUAUUGCAUGAAUGUCGAGGAAGAGCUAGUCUAAUAAUAAAAUAUAUUGAGAAUGUGCUAGAAUCCAUUGUAUUAAGUACUACUUUGGAAGUAUGGGGUAGGCAAGGCCAUCUAUUCUCCCUGAGGUUUGGAGGAAGAUGAGAAAAAAAAAAAAUCACAGAGGUAGUAAAAGUAGAGUUGAACUUAAAAAAUGGACAAGAGUUACCAGAGCAGAAUAUGAGAAAGGGAUUCUAAUCCAAACACCUGUUGAGGUGUGGUCCGGCAUCAAGGCAUUUGCAAGAAUUUUCCGAGCUAUUGUCAAUACCAAGCUUUGAACUGCUGGGUCCAGAGAUGUCGGGGAAUAUUGGAAUGAAAUUUGGAUGAAAACACCUAAUGGAAUUUUUUAAAUCCUAUGCAGAGCAGGCCUGAAACAAACCAUUAUUAAUAUUAAUAAGAUUUCUUCUGUUAUUAAUUCUGCUGUUUAAGAUCAAGGCUUUGCCAUUAAACAUAAUUAAGACUUGAGAUGAAUUUACUUAGUAAAAUUCUUUGACCUUACAUAAUUCAGAUGAUGAAAAUAAAAAAACCGUAUCAUUAACACUACCGUCUUCUCUUCAUCCUGCAUUUGUUGGGGGGAGACACAUUAGUAAAGCACCACUAUACUUUAUCACAGAAUUGCUCACCUUGUCUGGGUGCACACUCUUCUUGGUUCUCCCAUUUUCCAUCCAAGUACGAUGGUCAUAGCUCACUAUGGUUGCAUCCUCCCAUGCACUUCCAUAUAAAUCUACACCUCUUCCUAAAUCCCAACACCCACGCCAGCCUACCCUCCCUCUUAUGGCUCAGUCUUUUUUCCCCUCUUUUUUUAUUAUAAAUAUUUUUUAAUGUUUAGUUUUGAGAGAGAGAGAGAGAGAGAGACACAGAGUGUGAGUGGAAGAGGGGCAGAGAGAGAGGGAGACACAGAAUCCGCAGCAGGAUCCAGACCCUGAGCUGAAAGCACAGAGCCCGAUGCGAGGCUCGAACUCAUGAGCCUUGAGAUCAUGACCUGAGCUGAAGUUGGAUGCUUAACUGACUGAGUCACCCAGGCGCCCCCUAUGGCUAAGUCUCAAGUAAUCUUAAAGUUCAACUUAAAAACCACCUCCUUGACCCUCCUCUCACCCCUAAUCAUUCUCUUCCUCACCAUGCUCCUAAGAAGACCCAUGUCUCACUCCCUUCGAAAUAGCGAAAUUCUGUAGCUAUCUCCGGCGUCUGUAUGGAGAGGCCCUUGACCUCAGGAGAAACUUUCUCCCUUGGCUACAAUGGUUGAUGUAUGAUCCAUCCAUCUACCCCAAAUCAGCUAAUCAGAGAUAUCCCCUGGGCUUUUCAAAUUGGAGAUUGAUGGAAGUUACUAGUUUUAUCUCUUGUAAUCUUGCUCUAAUGCAGUUGGAGAGAAUUCAUACAACCCCUGAAGACUGGAUAGUGAAAGAGAUUCCUGAUCUUCAAGAUGCUGGAUCCAAUUUUUUUCUGAAGACAUCCUCAUUUCUGUCCUUUUAUGUAGACCAAUGCAUUCCUUUCUCUCUGUCCGUCUCCGUCUCUGGCACUCUC